AUGUUGCUAAAUAGCUGUUUUAAAAAAAGCUUACGGAUGGAUGAAUUAUUUCUUGUGCCAAAGACAGACUGUACCACGCUACCACCGUACCUAUUCUUCCAUUUUGCUACUCUACACAGAGUAACUCUACGACGUAGCGUUCACGUACGAUGUUCUCAAUUACCGCUAAGUCAGCAUGGGGCCAAGUUCGGGACAAAGACGACAGAUGAGACGACAGCAGUCAAAAGGCAAUGGCAUAAGCUAAUAAUUCCUAACCCGGCGAGCUCACUACUAUUUCGGCAACGCUGCAAAAUACCAAAGAAAUCAGCUGACUAUGAGGACAAGAAAUAUUCGAACCAAAAAAGAAGUCCCAUGUAUUGUGUAAAAAGUUUAAAGACCGUAUUUGAUGACACACAAUUUCCAAUUGAUGAUGACAAUGUCAUGCUUCAUCGUCUUGGCGACAGGUUGGAAUUUUUGCUUCAUGUUGGACUAAGGCAAAGUUCUGGUGUGUUUAGUCGAUCAAGAAGUCCUUGGCAUUACAUAAAUUCGUGCCUUAGCAAGUUGAAAACCAAUCACGAUGGAAUCCAUUUCGUCAGAGGAUUAUCUGAGCUUAAGACUCCUACAGGGAAACUUCGUUCUUUUCUCAGAUUUUGCCUUGUACAUCAAUGCCUGGCAGACACUUUGCAGCAAUGCACACUGUGUGAUGAUGUAACCAGUGAAUAUUACAGUGCAAAUUCUUUAUUUUCACAACAAACUUGGAAAUCAAGUUUUAUCUCAUCACUCUAUGAACUCAACGACAUUCAGUACGACCUAGCUCCGACCGGCUUCGAUUUGGAUGUCGGAUGGCCUACUUUUGCUCGGAAGCAGUUUGGCAGCUUCAACUGGAGCAGACAACAACGAUCCUCCUCGAGGCUCUCUCUCAGUCUACUCUCCGCCUCAGAAUCUCAGAGCGUCAAUAGCUUUCACAGUGAACUGACUUCGCCUUUGUGCACUGGCCCGUUAAACUCAACCAUGACCAGUAGCAUUGGCUCGAGUAGUCCGUCUCCGCCGCCGGAUCCGCAUGAAAUCAGUCGGCUUAUUUCUACCAUACGCCAAAUUACGGAGGAUAAAGAGGAAUUAAAAAUUCAAUUGGAUUCUCUUUGCAGACAGUUGGGCGAGGAAAGAGAAAAUGGAAAAAAGGACCGGGAACAGAUGGAGGUGGAACGACGUCAGUACCAAGAAAAGACAAUUGAAUUGGAGCGACGCUUGGAACUAGCCCACAAGCAGGUGAGCCCACAAACACUUGAAAGUUUGCGACAGGCGGAAGCACUGGGCAGGAAGAUGCUGGCCGCCCGAGAUGGAGAGGUUGAAUUGCUCAAGGCUCAGUUGGUUUCCACCGAGGCUAAAGUGGAUGCGUUAAAAGAACGACAGGAAUUGCAAAAGGUUAUCGUUAUGGGGGAGGUACGUAAGAUGGCCAACGAAAUGGCUGCGACGGAAUUGCAACUCAAGAAAUGGAAAAAAUUGGCUCUUGACUGGGCCCAAAUCGAGCAUAUGGAUGAUAUUAAACUAGACUCUAUUAAAGAAUUGGAAGGAGCCGAAGAGCUGGGCAAAAAACUGAAGGAGCUGUUGAGCGCCCAGCAGACAGCCGCCAAAGAAUUAGAUGCCAUCAAAGAGGCUAACAUGUCGCUGGUGAGGGCCUUAGCACAACACGAUCAUCAGCUGUCGACAGUGACGAGCCAGUUAGAUCAAACCUGGGUCUGGUUCUCCAAACUGAAGACACAGGCAAGUCAAUUACAGACGGACGAAUCGGUGAUGCGCUACGAUUUGAAGGAGAAACGAAAACUUCUCAACAGUUUAAAAGAACAAUUGGAAGUGUCCAAACAGCAAUGGGACCGUAUUCGCAACCAGAAUCACGCCAAUCAAGAAGAAUGGCAGUCCUUUCGAAACGAAUUGGACGGUCGGAAAGUGACGGGCGCAACGGCGAUUGCACAGAAGGAAGUAGAACCAGAACAAGUUGAGGUGGAAAGGGAACAACCAGCCUUUGUUCCUCCUAUCGAUUUAGUGUCGGACAUUGUUCCUAAUCAAGUAGUAACCGACGAUGAUGAAUUGCCUGUACCGGAAUCAUCGACUUCAGCAGACGGAAGAGAAGAACGUUUGCAAUUGAUGGAGCAGCAAUGUCGCUCUCUUUACGCCAAACUCGUCAAUUCCACUAGCCGGAAUGCUGCGUUGGUUAGCCGACUUGCAAAUCUUCAUCAGCAUUAUUCCAUCAAAGAAGAACAACCGUCUUCUCCAACAAUGUCUGCCCCGCCGGAGAGUUUGGUUGAAAAAGUGGUCGAUCAAGGGGAAGAUGCCGAACGAGUGAUUCUGGAGAAAGAUCGCCAAUUGGCGGUCGUAACGGAAGAACUGAAAGCCAUCAAAUUCGACCAAACGACUCGUCAGUUGGAAAAAGAGAAAGAAAAUCAGCAUUGGAAUUUUCUUCUUCAGGCCUACCAGCAACAGGAGGAACAACUCAAAUUGGCUCUCACUCAAUUAGCAGAUAAUGGCCAGCUGAUUGGAUCGUUGCAGCUCCAGUUGAGCACAUUGACAGGUCGCAAUCAGGAAGAACGCCAGUCAUUGGAUGCUCAAUUCCGGCAAAUGGAACUCUCUUUGAUGACUCGAAACGAAGAAUGCGAAGGUUUAGUCAAUGAAAUCCGCUCCAAUUUAAAAUUUCUAGACGGUUGCGGAAAUGGAUCAAUUGAGGACAUCGUACAUAGAGUUGCAAGAGAAAUUCAAAUGCUGUCAAGAAGCUGAAUCUCAAGCCAGGUCUGACAAUCAAUUGUUGCGGGAAGAAUCGCUCAUGUUGCGUGACAAAAUCGUCCAACUCAUCAAGGAAAAGGAUUGUCUGUGGCAGCGCAGUGACCGACUUUUGCAUUUACAAAGGAUUCAGGCGACAGACCAAUGGGUAGCUGAUGGAUCUAUUCGUGAUUGUCAGAGCUGUCAGUCUCGUUUCACCAUUUUUGUCCGCCGUCAUCA
rnacentral:misc_RNA from 1 species